CACCAUCCCCAUUUCCCAUUAUGCACCUCUUUGUGUUGGAUGACAUGUUGACACGCGGUAGUAGCUAGGGAUGGGUACUGACCCCCAUCAUGAGAUUAGUACCUUCUACCUUUUUGAUUUUGGUUCUACACCAAUACAUCCAUCCAUUUUCUGAUCCGCUUAUCCUCACGAGGGUAGUGGGGCAUGCUGGAGCCUGUACCAGCUGUUCGGGCAGUUGACGGGAGACCCCCUGAACUUUGUCAACCAGGCUGCGCAGCCGAAUGAAGUUCACUGUUUUCAUGACUGUGGUCACAAUGUCCUCCAUCCCUGGCACCUUCCCACACUUAGCUUCUUGAUGAAUAAUGGAAUGAUACGUUAUCAGAGGCGUGUGACAAUUAAUUUUUUGCAUUUUCCCCUCCAUUAGUGCAACUAAACCCACUUUUCCUCCACACAUCGCCGGUGCACCGUCUGUAGUUAAUCCUACCGAGUUUUCCCACUGCAAUGCAUUUUUACUUACGGACUUCUCCACCGUAUCAAAAAUGUCCUCUCCCGUCGCGGUGCCAUGCAUUGCAGCCACAUCCAAUAGCUCCUCAGUGAUAGAGAGGUCCAACUUUACGCCUCUAAUAAAAUUUGAUAACUGCGCUCUGUCCGUGUUAUCUGUGCUUUCAUCAACAGCUAAUGAAAAAGCUGUGUAGCUGCGUGUCUCCUCGGACAGCUCUGUUGUAAGAUUUUCUGCUUGUUCCUUCCCUCGGCUGCCGAUGGUGUUUCUUGAUAAACUGACAUUUUUAAAAGUCUGGUCGGGACACACCUGCGCAUCGACCUUCAGCAUGCACUGCUUCAAAACGCUCCCUCUGAAAAAGACUUGGAAGCGUGGGCGAUUUCUUCAGCCGCAAUGAAGCGAGCUUUCACCGCGGCCUCGUUUUUGGCUGUGGAUUUCAAGAAAAAACUCUGCUGCGACCGCAGUUUGCCUUUUAUUCUUGAGCAAUUUUCUUCCGUCUGCAUCAACUUUUCUCUUUCUGGACGUUUUGGGUGAGGAUGAAGCGGUUCGGAAAAUGAAUGAAUGAAUAUUUAUAUCUCAAUUCCACUCGUUGGCAUGGACACUGCCGCGGUUCGUGUAGUCGAAAGGCAUUGUGGGAAAUGUAGAUUUUGGUCAAAGCGCGCUCUUUGUUUUUUGGUAUUUAUUUUUAGACACUCAAAACUUUUAAGCUCUCGCGGGCCAUACAAAAUGACAUGGCAGGCCACAUCUGGCCCACGGGCCUUGAAUUUGACACAUGAUGUAGGACAGCAACCCACUCUGAUGUGUGCUCUCUAUGCUAGCGGGAAUAAAUGGACCAAAUCGGUAAUCCCAUCGUGUGCAAAUUACAGCACGGCACAGAAUCGAAAUGCAAACAAUAAUGCUAGGCCGGGGGUUGGCAACCCGUGGCUCUGGAGCUGCAUGCGGCUCUUUAGUGCUGCCCGAAUGGCAACCUGGAGCUUUUUCAAAAAUGUUUGAAAACGGAAAAAGAUAGGGGAGGGAAAUAUAUUUAUCUUUUAACAUGGUUUCUGUAGGAGGACAAACAUGACACAAACAUUCUUAACGUUUUACAAUGCUGUAAAAAUGUGCCAAAUAAAUUUUAAAUUUCAACAUUUCUGUCAACAAAGAUUUCUGUCAUAGCCUGCGAUACACAUUUCUAUGAGCAGGGUGGGAUGCCAGGCAAGUGGCUGUUGUUUAAAAAAACAAAAAACAGUGUUUCAUGUAGGUUACUGGCAAAGAAUGGGAAUGUGGAGGGCCGACAGAAACAUUUUAAACGGUACAUGUCAGCUAUGAUGGUUAACACGCUGCAAAAGUGCAUCCCAUGCCUCGCGUCAGGUCUUGACGAAGGUAGGUAGGCAUGCAUGUGUAAAUGCGUGCGAAUCCGCGUAUGCGUGCGUGCGGGAACGGGUCGAUCGCGGGAGGUUAGUUGAUCGAAAAGUAGAUCUUCAGUCAAAAAACGUUGCGCACCCCUGCUCUACAGGAUGCAAUGCAGGGAAAAAAAAACAUUUAAUCCUGAAGGCUCAUUGUGUAUUUGCAGCCAAGUUAGUCAUUUUGAUAGUAGGCUAAUAUAGGUAAUAUCGAUACAUACAGCGUAUGUGUUGCCUGCAUUAUCAGGCUCAUAUAAGGCUUUUAUUUUUUUUACGGCUCCAUACAUACAUAUAUAUUUAUUUUUUGGGGUCCAAUAUGGCUCUUUCAAUAUUUUGGGUUGCUGACCCUAGCGCUAGGCUAAUAACAGCAGCCUAUAUAGUCUACUGUUCUUUCAAUCCAGAUGGGUUUUGUCUCCACUCCAUGUCAGGCCGUUCGGGCAAAACAUUUUCUGCAUUCUGAGCAUUUGGCUCACAUAUGUAAGGUCCAACAUCUUGCCAACAAUGUCCUCUUCCUCCAACUCUUCAAAGACCCGGAUCCCCUAAGAUAAGGCGGAAACAUCACUUUCCAAAUUGAUUUCUGACUGGCUUUGUACAAUUUCCAUCAUGAGCCCUGCUAUUGUGUCCCUUGAAGUGACGUCACACUUCCAGGUUUGUCGUACGCCAGGAUCUCACGUCAGGAAAACGAUCACUUUGUCAGAUUUACGAAAUACCAAUUUUUUUUCAUGCUUUUAUUUAAGGUAUUUUGUUUAAUGACAAAAAUGUUUUAUUCUGGAUUUUCGAAAAUUACUUAACUAUUGAAACUUUCAGUGGAAGAGGUCGAUAUAAAUGUGCGAGCUUGCUUUCAACCCUCAAAGAUGAGUUAAUUCCACCACCAUUUGUUUAUUAUAUUGUUUGUUGAUGUCCACAGCAACAAGUUAAGCUAUUUAAAACGUGUAACCAAUUUAGUUUUAUUUAGUUUGAUAGCUUUUGUGAAAACAUCUGUUGCAGUGGAUACACGUGCUGGCCAAUGUGUGUAAAGUGUGUAAGCUGCUUAUUUAUAUUUGUUCUGAGGAGAACACAAGUUUU